AUUGAACGCUGGCGGCAUGCUUUACACAUGCAAGUCGAACGGUAACAGGCCUUCGGGUGCUGACGAGUGGCGAACGGGUGAGUAAUGCAUCGGAACGUGCCCAGAGGUGGGGGAUAACGCAGCGAAAGCUGUGCUAAUACCGCAUGUGAUCUGAGGAUGAAAGCGGGGGACCAGGCAGCAAUGUUUGGCCUCGCGCCUUUGGAGCGGCCGAUGUCAGAUUAGGUAGUUGGUGGGGUAAAGGCCUACCAAGCCGACGAUCUGUAGCUGGUCUGAGAGGACGACCCGCCACACGGGGCUGGGGAACCGGCCCAAACCCCCAGGGGGGGCAGGGGGGGGGAAUUUUGGAAAAGGGGCGCAAGCCGGAUCCAGCAAGGCCGGGGGGGGGAAGAAGGCCUGCGGGUUGGAAACCGUUUUUGUACGGAAAGAAAAGGCUUUGGGUAAUACCGGGGGGUGAGGAGGGUACCGUAAGAAAAAGCACCGGCAAACUCCGU
rnacentral:rRNA from 1 species